AGUGAACGCUGGCGGUAGGCCUAACACAUGCAAGUCGAACGGCAGCACAGUAAGAGCUUGCUCUUACGGGUGGCGAGUGGCGGACGGGUGAGGAAUACAUCGGAAUCUACUUUUUCGUGGGGGAUAACGUAGGGAAACUUACGCUAAUACCGCAUACGACCUACGGGUGAAAGCAGGGGAUCUUCGGACCUUGCGCGAAUGAAUGAGCCGAUGUCGGAUUAGCUAGUUGGCGGGGUAAAGGCCCACCAAGGCGACGAUCCGUAGCUGGUCUGAGAGGAUGAUCCGCCACACUGGAACUGAGCCACGGUCCAGACUCCUACGGGAGGCAGCAGUGGGGAAUAUUGGACAAUGGGCGCAAGCCUGAUCCAGCCAUACCGCGUGGGUGAAGAAGGCCUUCGGGUUGUAAAGCCCUUUUGUUGGGAAAGAAAAGCAGCAGGUUAAUACCCCGCUGUUCUGACGGUACCCAAAGAAUAAGCACCGGCUAACUUCGUG
rnacentral:rRNA from 1 species